rnacentral:rRNA from 1 species
UACGUAGGGGGCUAGCGUUGUCCGGAAUCAUUGGGCGUAAAGAGCGUGUAGGCGGCCCGGUAAGUCCGCUGUAAAAGUCAAAGGCUCAACCUUUGAAUGUCAGUGGAUACUGCCGGGCUAGAGUCCGGAAGAGGCGAGUGGAACUCCUGGUGUAGCGGUGGAAUGCGCAGAUAUCAGGAGGAACACCAACGGCGAAGGCAACUCGCUGGGACGUUACUGACGCUGAGACGCGAAAGCGUGGGGAGCAAACAGG